AAAUAAAUUUUUUGACUUCAGAUUUAUGGUACCGACACCACUGUUCCUAUUUCAAUAAAAACGGGCUGUUACAUUUUUCCUCUCCCAAAGCCCUUACACCAUCGUUCUGCUUUGCCCACGUCGAACCCCUUUUUAGCCAUCGUCAUUCUUUCCCUCCUAUUUCUCUCACUCCCCUCCAAACCCCUACCUUUCCCUUUCUUCCUCAUCUACAACACCUCCGAACGUUCUUUCUCCCAAUUACCUCUUCCCUUUCCCCCUUCUCACUCGCACAAUCAACCCUCCUAUCCUCUCCCACCCUAGCCGCCACCACUUCACCCAUUCAUUCCCUUGCCAGCCAACCUUGAUAUCCACUAUCGACCAAACAUCUGAACUCCUCCCUCUUUCUUUCUCCUUCACCAACAACCCCCACCUCUGAGCAGCCUUCACUCUCCGUUCCCAUCCUCCCUGUAAAUCUAGACAACCGCAACCCAACCACCCUUGCCCCCUCUAUGUUUCCCCCAACCCCACCUCCCACCCACUCCUGUCUCUAUCAUCAGACCAUUACCACCGGUCUCCGCUGUGUGCACCACCUCCCUCGUGCCGUCGUCCCCGCCCUCUGUCGGUUACUUCACCGUUUACCCUUCUAAUUUAUUCCUUUUUAAAAUUUUCUUUUUCUUUAUUUUCUUUUAUUAUAUUUAUUAUUUGUUUUAUUUUUCCUAUAUUUCUUAGUUUUAUUAUCAUUGUUAUUUUUAUUAUUUUUAUUCUUAUUUUUAGUUCUAGUAGUAUCUGUUUAUGGUGACUUGAAUUCG
rnacentral:lncRNA from 1 species